rnacentral:rRNA from 1 species
GACGGGGGGGGCAAGUGUUCUUCGGAAUGACUGGGCGUAAAGGGCACGUAGGCGGUGAAUCGGGUUGAAAGUGAAAGUCGCCAAAAAGUGGCGGAAUGCUCUCGAAACCAAUUCACUUGAGUGAGACAGAGGAGAGUGGAAUUUCGUGUGUAGGGGUGAAAUCCGUAAAUAUACGAAGGAACGCCAAAAGCGAAGGCAGCUCUCUGGGUCCCUACCGACGCUGGGGUGCGAAAGCAUGGGGGAGCGAACAGG